AUACUUACCUGGACGGGGUCGACGGCUGAUCAAGAAGAGUCGUGGCCUAGGCUAGUGGUCCACAUUGCACUUGGUGGAUGUGCUGGCCUACCAUCUCCCCAAGUGGGAGAGUGGACGUCGUAAUUUGUGGUAGAGGGGGUACGCGUUCGCGCGGCCCCUGC
rnacentral:snRNA from 1 species